rnacentral:rRNA from 1 species
UACGUAGGGUGCAAGCGUUUGUCCGGAAUUAUUGGGCGUAAAGAGCUCGUAGGCGGUUUGUUGCGUCGGCGUGUGAAAUCCCGAGGCUCAACCUCGGGUCUGCAGUCGAUACGAGCAACUAGAGUGAUUGCAGGGGAGACUGGAAUUCCUGGUGUAGCGGUGAAAUGCGCAGAGUAUCAGGAGGAACACCGGUGGCGAAGGCGGGUCUCUGGGCAGUAACUGACCGCUGGAGGAGCGAAAGCGUGGGGAGCGAACAGG